rnacentral:rRNA from 1 species
UGCGUGAAGUCGGAAUCGCUAGUAAUCGCGGAUCAGCAUGCCGCGGUGAAUACGUUCCCGGGCCUUGUACACACCGCCCGUCACACCAUGAGAGUCGGGAACACCCGAAGUCCGUAGCCUAACCGCAAGGAGGGCGCGGCCGAAGGUAGGUUCGAUAAUUGGGGUGAAGUCGUAACAAGGUAAC